CAGUAAAUUGGUCUGUCCCUGAACACUUAGAGAAAAAAGGUAGAACAGAAACCAAUUAAUGUGUAAAAUGUUAGCCUAUUCAGGCAGAGUUAUAUUUAUUUAUUUUUUGCAGUCGUGGGCUGCACAUUUUAUGACCAAACGUAGCUCUUAAACUCUGAAUUGGUUGCAGUCUAUAAAAUAAGUAAAUUAUUAAAAAAUAAAGUUAUGCCAUGAGACUGUUAAUCUAGACAAGCUUUGCCAAUAAAUUUAGGAUUUUAUUUUAGAAGCAAAACCUAUUAUUUCUAAU